rnacentral:rRNA from 1 species
GUGAGGAAUAUUGCGCAAUGGAGGCAACUCUGACGCAGCCAUGCCGCGUGCAGGAAGAAGGCGCUACGCGUUGUAAACUGCUUUUAACCGGGAAGAAACCCCAGGACGUGUCCUGGGUUGACGGUACCGGAGGAAUAAGCACCGGCUAACUUCGUGCCAGCAGCCGCGGUAAUACGAAGGGUGCAAGCGUUAUCCGGAUUCAUUGGGAUUAAAGGGUGCGUAGGCGGAGCGUUAAGUCAGUGGUGAAAUCCUGCAGCUUAACUGUAGACUUGCCAUUGAUACUGGCGCUCUUGAGUGCGCUUGAAGUGGGCGGAAUGUGCCGUGUAGCGGUGAAAUGCUUAGAUAUGGCACAGAACACCAAUUGCGAAGGCAGCUCACUAAGGCGAUACUGACGCUGAGGCACGAAAGCGUGGGGAUCGAACAGGAUUAGAAACCCGAGUAGUCC